AUCGGGCCGUCCUGCAGCCGGAUCAGCCAGGUGGCGUCGAGCAGCAGCAUAAACGCAUAAGCUGGUGUUAAUCUACAAGCAAAUAAAAAAGAUAGUCCCAGCAGCGGAAGCGGCGCUGCUUUUCGGCAAAAUCCACAAAGUGUACGGCCAGCAGGAAUCCACUCACGGUGAAGUACGUCUGCACCACCGUAAUGCCGUUGAAUAUCAGCAUCGUAAUGAUACGGCGAUAGUUCUCUCGACGUACUGUGGGUUCUGUAGCGGAAAGAUGCAAUUAAACAGCAUUGAGUGGCCGGCGAUGACGAGGUACAUGACGAGAAACCGGACCGACUGUAUGAAGCGCAAAUCUUUCGUGGCGGUGCUGGACGCCUUUCUACGCGCCGUCGUUAGUAGAUGCCAGUUCCGGGGAAGGGAAAACGCAACGAGCAGUACGGUGGCUGAAAGGGCAAAGGAUGUAAACAAAAGGCUUCCAAUGUGCAGGAAGAUGGCUUUUGAACACCUACUACGGCUUACACCCGGGCGCUCCAAUCCGGAUCGAUAGUAAUCUUUUAAUCCAUCCGCAAUCGUGCCGCCGUGGUGUGGUCGCGCUUGCCGGUAUCGAUAGCAAUCGUACCCGGUGGACAGCAGUGUUAGGGUGAGCAGUGUACCAAGGACAAACAGAAACGUACCAUCAAUCUUAUCUGAGAAGAAAAAAAUGGAACAGGAACAACGUUGUGAAGGAAGGAAAAGAUACAUAUUUCAUCGUUUGGAUGUGGCCCGCGUCACCUAAUGCUUCCGGUGGUGCUACCACCGCAGACACCCGUACAUCCCGGUCCGUUUGCGCUCGGUUCGUCGUGCAGUAUUCUACCGUUGUGUAGGCCAUCAGGGAGUACUGACGUUUCAGCUCGUAAUUGACACAUUGAUUGGCUAAACGGCGGUAUCGGUUGCGCCAGUCGAGCGCCCCGCGGAACGUGUUCGGGUCGAACGUGAUCUGUGUGCACGGCGAAAGAAUUGGGGUUCUAGAGAAUGGACGAAUUUCUACGUACAACUUUACCUCCUGAGAAUCGUUAGGUUUGAAGCGAGCGCCGAAGUACUUCAUCUGCGUGCGUGGAUCGAACCGGGUCAGCAGCUGGUGGCAUCGGUUCAUGCACAGACCGCGCUGGAGUCGAUCGUGGCGGAAGUUGCGCUUUCUGUCGGCGGAAAAUUGCUCUAUCACGGACCACAGCGGUGCGGAGUCGUUUGGGACGAUCCAGCUGUCCACCAGGCAGUAGGUGGCCCGCUCGGGGAACUCGUCCAGACAGCGAUCGUAGUCAUCGUAGAGGUAGAGCGGUGGCAUCUGAUAGUAAGCGGUGACUGGGGAGUUUGUGGUGCAUUGUUGCGAAACGAGAGGGAGAAACGGUUACUACGGGGAACAUAGAUGACUACGAUGAUUCUCGUAAAGUUGAGAGUGUAGCGAAAACACGUGGUUGGAUUUAAAGAUUUUGAAUUGGAUUCGUUAAAGAUAACUUAUAUUUAUCACUUUGUGUGAACAGUGUUUCAAUGAUCUAACCUAGAAACUGAAUUGAAAAAAUAACAAAUUUACCAUCCCAUAACGCUUCUUCCAAUAAAUUCUUCCGUGUUUUAAAAGGUC